UGGGGAAUAUUGGACAAUGGGCGCAAGCCUAAUCCAGCCAUGCCGCGUGAGUGAUGAAGGCCCUAGGGUUGUAAAGCUCUUUUGUGCGGGAAGAUAAUGACUGUACCGCAAGAAUAAGCCCCGGCUAACUUCGUGCCAGCAGCCGCGGUAAUACGAAGGGGGCUAGCGUUGCUCGGAAUCACUGGGCGUAAAGGGUGCGUAGGCGGGUCUUUAAGUCAGGGGUGAAAUCCUGGAGCUCAACUCCAGAACUGCCUUUGAUACUGAGGAUCUUGAGUUCGGGAGAGGUGAGUGGAACUGCGAGUGUAGAGGUGAAAUUCGUAGAUAUUCGCAAGAACACCAGUGGCGAAGGCGGCUCACUGGCCCGAUACUGACGCUGAGGCACGAAAGCGUGGGGAGCAAACA
rnacentral:rRNA from 1 species